rnacentral:tRNA from 1 species
GACAGUGUGCCUGAAUUAAAAGGGUCGUUUUGAUGUGACGGAUAUGGAGAGUGUUCUUCCACUGUUA